rnacentral:rRNA from 1 species
AAUGAACGCUGGCGGCGUGCUUAACACAUGCAAGUCGAACGAGAAAGCCGGAAGCUUGCUUUUGGCGAGUAAAGUGGCGCACGGGUGAGUAACGCGUGGGUAAUCUACCUCCGAAUUUGGGAUAACACUUCGAAAGGGGUGCUAAUACCGGAUGAUAUCCAUCGGAUUUUGGUCUGGUGGAUCAAAGAUAGCCGAUCCUUGGAAGCUAUUGUUUGGAGAUGGGCCCGCGUCCCAUUAGCUAGUUGGUAGGGUAAGGGCCUACCAAGGCGACGAUGGGUAGCUGGUCUGAGAGGAUGAUCAGCCACACUGGAACUGGAACGCGGUCCAGACUCCUACGGGAGGCAGCAGUGAGGAAUUUUGCGCAAUGGGGGCAACCCUGACGCAGCAACGCCGCGUGAGUGAUGAAGGCCUUCGGGUCGUAAAGCUCUGUCAAGUGGGAAGAACCUGAUCGUGGUGAAUAGUCAUGGUCAUUGACGGUACCACUGAAGGAAGCACCGGCUAACUCCGUGCCAGCCGCCGCCGUAACAC